UAAAAAAUGGCUGAGGUCACCACAGAGUCAUAGAAGGUCUUCAGGAGUGUUUAGGGACACAAAAUACUGUUGGAAAAGUCAUGCUUAGGAACUAUCACCAGUAGCCUUCAGACUGGAUGAAAGAACUUCUACAGGUACUUGGAACGUGCAAAGGAAACUCAGACAAGAUGUUUCUGUGAAAGUCCACAUCAACCUCGUAAUUGCUCUGAUGCUCCUCAACCUGCACUUCCUGCCCAAUCAGGCAGUGGCAGCAGGGUCCUCCUCUGGACUUUGCUUAUACAUGGCUCUUUUACUUCAUUACUCCCUGCUGGCCACUUUCAGCUGGAUGGGCUUGGAAGGGUUCCACCUAUAUCUUCUCUUGGUCAAAGUCUUCAACAUCUAUGUGAAGAGAUACCUACUCAAACUCAG
ensembl:lncRNA